GGCUGCUGCUAGCUUUUAGGUUCACUACUGCAGCUGUGGUCCUCCAAAUUGAAAAGUCGCUUUGCCACCCAGGUCAGGAAAGAGCAGGAAAACACCCCCGAUGGUCCUGGCUCUCCUGCGGCAGUGAAGCGGUUCUGUUACGGCCACUUGUCCCAGUGAAUUUCAACUUUUAGUCAGAGGAUCCAUCCCUUCCAGUAGACAUAGCAUCCUAAGGGGUCAGGAGAGGAAACCAAAGGAAGAGUGGGAAAAAGGAGAGUCCAGUUCCUCAGAGACCCACAAAUCAAGUCUGAUCUGCAGACAAGGGGACAAAGAUCUUCACAUUACACUCCAAUACGUCCAGACCCAGUCUGCUGUCUGUGCACCCCAAGAUCAGAACCACACACACAUCGAGCAGUGGAGGGACAACCACUGUCACCAUCAUGAUGACGGCAAAUAGCAGCAAUCCCCUGGAAAGAUGAGAUGGAACAUCUAGGUGUUUUGUCACCGAGGUAUCAAUAAGUAUUUACUGAGCACCUCUCAUGUCCCUAACAGUCUGCUAGGUACAAGGGAGGGAAGACAAAACGAAGAUGAUGCAGACCCUUGCCUGGAGGAGCACAUAGCAUCCUUCACGCUGGAAAGAAUGCCAUGUUAG
rnacentral:lncRNA from 1 species